AGGGUUCGAUCCUGGCUCAGGACGAACGCUGGCGGUGCGCCUUAUGCAUGCAAGUCGAGCGAAGCUUUUCAGUAGUUUACUACAGAAAAUGACUGAGCGGCGAACGGGUGAGUAACGCGUGAGCAAUCUACCUUAGUUACAGGGAUAGCCCGAGGAAACUCGGAUUAAUACCUGAUAUUCUUUAUUUCUCGCAUGAGAAUAAAAGGAAAGGUCAGCCGAACUAAGAUGAGCUCGCGUUCUAUCAGCUAGUUGGUGAGGUAAAAGCUUACCAAGGCUACGACGGAUAGCUGGUCUGAGAGGACGAUCAGCCACACUGGGACUGAGACACGGCCCAGACUCCUACGGGAGGCUGCAGCAGGGAAUAUUGUGCAAUGAACGAAAGUUUGACACAGCGACACCGCGUGUGGGAUGACGGAUCUAGGUUUGUAAACCACUUUCAGGAGGGAAGAAAAUGACGGUACCUCCACAAGAAGCCCCGGCCAACUACGUGCCAGCCGCCGCGGUAAUAC
rnacentral:rRNA from 1 species